GAUGAUGUGGAUUAAUUCGAUGCAACGCGAAAAACCUUACCUAGCCUUGACAUGCCAGGAAUCCUGAAGAGAUUUGGGAGUGCCCGCAAGGGAAUCUGGACACAGGUGCUGCAUGGCUGUCGUCAGCUCGUGUCGUGAGAUGUUGGGUUAAGUCCCGCAACGAGCGCAACCCUUGUCAUUAGUUGCUACGCAAGAGCACUCUAAUGAGACUGCCGGUGACAAACCGG
rnacentral:ncRNA from 1 species